CUAAUUGCCUAUGACAAGCACAACCUUUUCUUUUUGUUCAGUUUUCUCUCAUAUUAACUAUCAAUAGAAAAAUAUGGCAUUCAUGUAGAUCCCAAUAUUUUCAGUCAUUUGUUAAACAAAAUCCAUUUGAUUUUUAAUGUUGUUAAUAAACAACAGAAAAAAUAAGUGAUUUUUCCAGAAAAUGUUUUCCUUGUAAAAUAUUUUCCACAAAGUGACCAUAGCCUAAAAUUGAAGAUUUUUUUUCACCUCAAUUAAAGUUAUUCAAAUAUAAAAAUAUAAUGGAACAUCAAAGAUCAACAUGUACUCCUAGUCGUCCAUGGAUACAACAUCUAUCUUGCUGAAAACAAGAAGGUAAACAAUACACAUACAAUAAAUAGUAAAAGCUGCAUGUAUUUCUUUUCAAGUAAAAAUGUGAAUAUAAAUUCUCAAGCAAGGUGCAGGUUGGUUUAAUUGCCACAUUAAACCAAACUAGAAAACCAAUGCUGUUUUUUCACUAUCAUAGCCCAAUAUUGAAACAAACCUAAGAAGCAGAAUGACUCAAUUUUCUGCUUUAUUUUGAUUAAACUAGUUGAGAAACUCCAAAAAUUCAGCAUUGAAUGCAUACCCUCCUAGCAUACAUGGGCAUCUUUCUUAUAGAAUGCAAUGUUGCCAGAUGUAAACAAUACACCAUUUAAUCUCCAUUAAAGCCUUAGAUGGGAAAGACUGAUGGCUCAAAAGGAUUUAAUGAAUUGAGGGAGAAAAGAUUGAAGUAUAGCAUCAACCCUGCAUUUGGCACUAUCCAUUUAUGAAAACUGGUUACAAAUAAGGAUCUUUGCUUUGCUACAUUUUAUUAUGAUAGCCAAAACUAAAAUGAUUCAAGCCAACAUGAUAAAGUCACAGGAUUAUUUCCUUAAGCCUCUUCAAACUAAAUGGCAAGAUAAACAUAUAGAAUUCACGUAGUUUUGAUGAAUACCAGAAUAACAUAGAAGAAAAGGGCAAAUUCCGGCAUGCUCUAUAAUGAAUCCUAAAAAUAUUCUCUGAUCUACUUUUGCAUUAAUUUGAAGGUAAAUCAUGACCUCAAACCAAUAAUCAAUACCCAAUUCAUCAUGCUUCACAUUCAGCACAAGAUGGUACUUCAUAA
rnacentral:misc_RNA from 1 species